rnacentral:rRNA from 1 species
CCAACGGGUGGCUGCAGUAGGGAAUAUUGGUCAAUGGGCGCAAGCCUGAACCAGCCAUGCCGCGUGAGUGAUGAAGGCCUUCGGGUCGUAAAACUCUUUUCUGAGGGAAGAACAUCCCGCGUAGGAAAUGACGCGGGCUUGACGGUACCUCAGGAAUAAGCAACGGCUAACUCCGUGCCAGCAGCCGCGGUAAUACGGCGGUUGCGAGCGUUGUUCGGAAUAACUGGGCGUAAAGGGAGCGCAGGCGGUUGGGCAAGUCUAAAGUGAAAGCCCGGGGCUCAACUCCGGAAGUGCUUUAGAUACUGCCGUACUCGAGUUCGUGAGAGGAAAGCGGAAUUCCAGGUGUAGCGGUGAAAUGCGUAGAUAUCUGGAGGAACACCGGUGGCGAAAGCGGCUUUCUGGCACGAUACUGACGCUGAGGCUCGAAAGCGUGGGGAGCAAACA